rnacentral:rRNA from 1 species
CUGGUAUGACUGGCUUCGCUGAUUCCUCCUUUCUGAAGAACUGUAAUGCCAUUAAUUUGGUGUUGCAGGGAAACAGGACUGUUACUUUGAAAAAAUUAGAGUGUUUAAAGCAGGCUAACGCUUGAAUACAUUAGCAUGGAAUAAUGAAAUAGGACGUUUGAUCCUAUUUUGUUGGUUUCUAGGAUUGACGUAAUGAUUAAUAGGGAUAGUUGGGGGCAUUAGUAUUCAAUUGUCAGAGGUGAAAUUCUUGGAUUUAUUGAAGACUAACUACUGCGAAAGCAUUUGCCAAGGAUGUUUUCAUUAAUCAAGAACGAAAGUUAGGGGAUCGAAGACGAUCAGAUACCGUCGUA